AUUUACUUUUAUAUCUGCUUCCUUGAGUCUUAACCUUCAAAUUUACAUUUGCUUACUUGCUUAAAGUGGAGAUGGAUUGUCUGAUUAAUUGUUUAUGAUCUAACGAAUACUGGUUUUCAGAUGGUCCUCUUGGACUCUUUCUAUCAUUCUUUUCUCUAUUUCUCUACACAGGUAGCAUACUGAGUUAGAGUUGAAAGUGACUUCAGCAAGACACAUAACGCUGCUGCAUGAUAAUCUUGCUGCUAAAAGUACACAACUCUAUAUGAGACCACAUAAUUUGAAUGUCAUCUGAUCUGAAAUUGAGACGCUUGAUUAAAUCCAUAUGUUGGAAUGCUAGAAUAUAGACAAAAGGGUUUUAGCUUAUACAACAACUCUAGUUGAUUAAUUUCUACUUAGUGGCUGACUGGAGUGCUCUAUUGAAAAGAAUUCUGAAACCAAGUCCAUAUGCAGCAGGAAAAGGGUGUCAAAAUCUAUUAAUAAUAUCUUUUUAUUUUGAACUCUUGGUAUGUGUUCAAAUUUUCUUGUCUCUAUUUUGUUUCUCAGAUUUUCCAGCAAAUAACAUUGUGAAGUUCCUGGUAAGUUUUACAAACAAGGGUACAGAAGAUUGCAUUGUCAAAUCUUUAGAUGCCUCAUUCCAUUAUCCUCAGGACUACCAGUUUUAUAUCCAGAAUUUCACGGCUCUUCCUCUGAACACUGUAGUGCCACCCCAGAGACAAGCAACUUUUGAGUACUCCUUCAUUCUUGCGGAGCCUAUGGGUGGACGACCCUUUGGUCUGGUCAUCAAUCUGAACUACAAAGAUUUGAAUAUAAGGCAAUGUAUUCCAAGAUGCAGUCUUCAAUCAAACAGUUACAGUCUUCAAUCAAACAGUUACAGCACAAGAGACCCAUAUAGAAAGUAGAAAUGGGUACGUCAAGUCAGAAUGACAUGAGUUGGAUUCCUCAGGAAACUUUGAAUCAGAUCAGAUAAGAAGCUGUGUAUUUAAUGAUGAGGAAAUUGCUCCUAAGAAGAAACUUGCCAAGACUCACAACAAGGGUGAAGUCUUAACCCUCAAUGACUAUGCCGUAUUUGGAGAUAAGUCUUUUAAAGAGGUCAUUAAUAUUAAAUCAGAAAAUAAGGGUGAGGGCCCUAAUCCAAUGACUGGUGUCCCAAUAAAUGGAGAUUAGGACAUAGACACAAAGACCACAUGAAGACCCAGGGAGUGGACCACCACCUAAGGGCCCUAAUCCAGUAACUGGUGUCCUCAUAAGAAGAGAUUGGGACACACACAGAGGAAAGACCACAAGAGGACACACGGAGACUACCACCAUCUACAAGCCAACAAGAGAGGCUUCAGAAGAAAAAUCAAUCCUUCUGAUACCUCAGUCUUAGACUUCUAGCCUUCAGAAUUGUAAAAAAAAUACAUUUCUGUUAAGACACCCACCUGUGGUAUUUUGUUAUGGCAGCCCUAGAAAUAGCGCCCUAGUUUCUCUCUCAAGUCUGGUCAGAUCUUCCCUCCUCUCCCCAAAUCCCAGUCCCAUUCUAGUCAAAAUAUGAGGUUACCCCAUUAUUUUAGUUCUCUCAACAAAAAAAGUAUUUGGAUUACUUCUUUACAGAGCUAUUAGUUAUUGAUCAUUCCAACCAAAAUAAGAUGUUCUUUUUACCUAGGACACUUCAUGUUUUAUUCCAUAAUGUUUUCUGAAACUAAAGGCAUUUUUAGAAAACUGAAUAAAAUUAAAUCAUCAAAUAGCUGUUGAGAGAGGAGAGACCAAUUAGGAAUUCUGAUGCCCCAAAGGUAAAUUUGGCAAAUCCUAUCCAAGGUGUGGUAGCGUCUAUAGGUCAUAUUCCCACAUCCAGGUAGCUUGCAUGUUCAAAUUAGAAAGGACAACACACUCUUUCCUCCUUCCCCACAUGCAAAUAAAUCAAAGAUUUGUUUUCCCUACUUAAAGAACCUUAAACAUCUACAAUUAGCUCAAAAUGUCAACUUCAGGGGAAAAUUAUGAAAGGUUAUUCAACUGCUUUAUCUCAUCAGAAAAGAAAGGCUGCAAGUUAGAAGCUUUAACUCUGCAAUCAUAGUGAAACACAACAAAAUUUAAAUAUACAUACAGGUAUAUAAAUACAAAGACAUACACAUGCACAUGCACAAGCCCACACAUGUAUCUUCUCCAAGUAGAGAUCUAAGCAUUCAUUAGUACUUUAAUCGUGUACUGAAUAAGCCCUAUAGUAUUUUUAUGAAUUCUGACCACUACUGCAUCAACCUGAACCCAUACUUCAGUCCUGUGAAUAUGAAUAAACUCACAUCUGUUCUAAAUUCUUUUCAGAUUUUCACAACUGCUCAGCCACUUUGCUAAGAGACCUGUGGUUAUCAGUUACUGUGUAUAAAGAAACCAGAAAGAGCUAAAAUUGCACUAACAUUAUCUUGAGAUAAGCUUCUUCUCAUUCCAAGGAAAAAAAUACCCACAGCAAACAAAAUAGCACCAUUAUUACAGAACUAAGGGUUAGGUUACCCGACCCUGGACGUUUAAUAUAGCCGGUGUUUUUAAGUUCUGCCUGGUCUCAACACCUCUGCUUGGAAUUUGGUUUAAGCCUGAACUCCAAGUAAACAAUUUCACGUGUGCUGAAAGCACAACUCUGUGCUACUCCCAGAUUAAAUAAAGGUAGUGAAACCUCUCAUUAUCAUUAAGGUCAGACCUGUGAGAAAGAAAAAGGAGUAACCAAUCACUUCACCUUCGAAUACAGGCUAAGGUUAAAAUCUGGGCAGACCGUGGCAAGAACAGCAAUCUAGAGCGGACGCUGCCGGUGGAGAAUAUCUGCUUUAACCCAGAGACAAGAUGCCCAGCCCUGGAUCCUGUCCUUUCCCUCUGAGGAUGCCCGCGGGCCUGCCGUGGGUCAGGGACACAUUUCCUCUGCUCACUCCUGAGAGGAAAGGGGACACAGCUGAUUUUAAGACACUUGUCCAGCCACGCUUAAAACACAAACAAAAAAACAGACAGAACAAGCAAGUUAGCACCCUGGCGUGUGGAACUGCCCCCGCUGCGGACGCCCCCACUCUAACAUUAUCUUGAGAUAAGCUUCCUCUCAGCAGGAUGAUCAGCAGCGUGGCCACGAACAUGAGCAGGGUCAGCCCUGGUAAGGAAAACCCCCAUCUAUUACUUGGCGGCGCAUCAACCACUGAGACCCUCACCCCUCAGGGAAGGCCCGCACCAGCAUGAUACUAACGUAUCAGCUGGCCCAGCAAAUGAUCUAUUAGCUGGCGCAUCAGCGUAACACUAAACCUAUUACCUGGCCUAUCAACUAAACGAAUACCUGGUGCAUCAUCACAAUACUAACCAUUAGUCACCUGAUAUCCCACCCCCUGGACCACCCCAACUUAAUAAAAGUGUGAAAAACCGGGUAAGACGGGGCUCAAAAAUGGGGGGCGAGACCCCGCUGAGCCCGCCAGCGAAUAAACUUUGAUUAUCCGACUCUCUGUGUGCCGCUGGGUUAGU